rnacentral:rRNA from 1 species
UACGGAGGGUGCAAGCGUUGUUCGGAAUCACUGGGCGUAAAGGGCGCGCAGGCGGUUUGGUAAGUCAGAUGUGAAAGCCCACGGCUUAACCGUGGAAGUGCAUUUGAAACUGCCGGACUUGAGUACCAGAGGGGAAAGUGGAAUUCCCGGUGUAGAGGUGAAAUUCGUAGAUAUCGGGAGGAAUACCGGUGGCGAAGGCGACUUUCUGGCUGGAUACUGACGCUGAGGCGCGAAAGCGUGGGGAGCAAACAGG